GAGAUCGGGAUAACACCUGGAAACAGAUGCUAAUACCGGAUAACAACAGAUGAUGCCUAUCAACUGUUUAAAAGAUGGUUCUGCUAUCACUCUUGGAUGGACCUGCGGUGCAUUAGCUAGUUGGUAGGGUAACGGCCUACCAAGGCGAUGAUGCAUAGCCGAGUUGAGAGACUGAUCGGCCACAUUGGGACUGAGACACGGCCCAAACUCCUACGGGAGGCAGCAGGC
rnacentral:rRNA from 1 species